UUAGUUUUCUCCUCUCGCUUCUUCUUCUUCAUUCGGUCUUUUUUUUUCGGAUUUCUUUCUUCCUCCGUCUUCUAUCUUUUAAUCAAGGAAGAAGGUUUUGUUUGAUCAACAUAAACCGAUUUCGAUCAGUCGCUGAAUAACAUCGAUUUUCAUAUGUUUUUUUUUUGAAAUCCUUACGGUGAUUAAUAUCAAUUUUUUUUCUGUAUAUUCUUUUUGGGAUCUAAUUAAGGUGGAUCGACAAGGAAACUAAAUUCUGGUUCGCUCGCUGAUUGAUAACUAGGAUUUCCCUACCUGAAAUUUUGAGGAUUUUGUUCCUGAUGUGUUAGAUGUUUGUAUAUAUGCAGAUUGUUGUACUAGGGAAGUCUUGAUAUGGAUCUAUUGUUUAUUAGCGACUUCAAGCAGGAUGUGGGUAUUAUGCUGGUAUUGAUACCAAUUUCAGGUGUGCACCUGUUGCCUGCUUGGCUGUAGAACCUAUUGGGACAUCACCAUCCUGUUUUCCUAAACAGGGUUACAUCACAAGACAAUGCAAACUAAAGGAAUUCGGGAGAUUACCAGUAAAGGUGUUGUAAGGAAUGUCUAGAUCUUUGAGUGAUUUGAGUCAACUUCGUUAAGGAGGAAGAUUACCAGAGAAUGAAUUGUGUAUAAGAACUAGGGAUUCAAGAUUAACGAAAGAAGAAAUGGAAGAAGGAAUUGGCCCAUAAAAUGAAUUUUCAGCAAGACGAAUGUGUGUGAGUUGAGUAAGUGAUGAAAUGAGAGGAGAAAGAGUUCUUGAAUAACCAACAGGGUCAAGAACGAUUGAAGUGAUACGAGUUAAAUCAGAGCUACAAGUGAUUUCACAAAUGAAAUGUGUUCCGUGACACAGUGCGAUUGUUGUCCUAUAGGGACUGGAGGUGUGUACAGUUAGGAGUUUCUUUGGUGUUCUCAUAGUAAAAUUAAUCAAAAUGCACGAGGCAGAUUUUAUCAUCAUCAAACAGAUUUAUUAAGCUACCACUUUCUGGAUUUUGUGA